rnacentral:rRNA from 1 species
CAGUGCGGGGAGCUAUACAUGCAAGUCGAGCGGACGGAUAAGGAGCUUGCUCCUUUGAAGUUAGCGGCGGACGGGUGAGUAACACGUGGGUAACCUACCUAUAAGACUGGAAUAACUUCGGGAAACCGGAGCUAAUGCCGGAUAACAUUUGGAACCGCAUGGUUCUAAAGUAAAAGAUGGUUUUGCUAUCACUUAUAGAUGGACCCGCGCCGUAUUAGCUAGUUGGUAAGGUAACGGCUUACCAAGGCAACGAUACGUAGCCGACCUGAGAGGGUGAUCGGCCACACUGGAACUGAGACACGGUCCAGACUCCUACGGGAGGCAGCAGUAGGGAAUCUUCCGCAAUGGACGAAAGUCUGACGGAGCAACGCCGCGUGAGUGAUGAAGGUUUUCGGAUCGUAAAACUCUGUUAUUAGGGAAGAACAAAUGUGUAAGUAACUGUGCACAUCUUGACGGUACCUAAUCAGAAAGCCACGGCUAACUACGUGCCAGCAGCCGCGGUAAUACGUAGGUGGCAAGCGUUAUCCGGAAUUAUUGGGCGUAAAGCGCGCGUAGGCGGUUUCUUAAGUCUGAUGUGAAAGCCCACGGCUCAACCGUGGAGGGUCAUUGGAAACUGGGAAACUUGAGUACAGAAGAGGAAAGUGGAAUUCCAUGUGUAGCGGUGAAAUGCGCAGAGAUAUGGAGGAACACCAGUGGCGAAAGGCGACUUUCUGGUCUGUAACUGACGCUGAUGUGCGAAAGCGUGGGGGAUCAAACAGGAUUAGAUACCCUGCUAGUCCACGCCGUAAAACGAUGAGUGCUUAAGUGUUAGGGGGUUUCCGCCCCCUUAGUGCUGCAGCUAACGCAUUAAAGCACCUCCGCCUGGGGGGAAGUACCGACGCAGUUGGAACCUCAAGCAAUUGAACGGGGGACCUGGCUAACAAAGU